rnacentral:rRNA from 1 species
CAGCCGCCGCGGGAAUACAGAGGGUGCAAGCGUUAAUCGGAAUUACUGGGCGUAAAGCGCGCGUAGGUGGUUCGCCAAGUUGGAUGUGAAAUCCCCGGGCUCAACCUGGGAACUGCAUCCAAAACUGGCGAGCUAGAGUAUGGUAGAGGGUGGUGGAAUUUCCUGUGUAGCGGUGAAAUGCGUAGAUAUAGGAAGGAACAUCAGUGGCGAAGGCGACCACCUGGACUGAUACUGACACUGAGGUGCGAAAGCGUGGGGAGCAAACAGGAUUAGAUACCCGAGUAGUCCCUGUCUCUUAUAA